rnacentral:rRNA from 1 species
AUUGAACGCUGGCGGCAGGCUUAACACAUGCAAGUCGAGCGAGCGGCGGACGGGUGAGUAAUGUCUGGGAAACUGCCUGAUGGAGGGGGAUAACUACUGGAAACGGUAGCUAAUACCGCAUACCAUCAGAUGUGCCCAGAUGGGAUUAGCUCGUAGGUGGGGUAAUGGCUCACCUAGGCGACGAUCCCUAGCUGGUCUGAGAGGAUGACCAGCCACACGGGAACUGAGACACGGUCCAGACUCCUACGUGAGGCAGCAGUGGGGAAUAUUGCGCAAUGGGGGCAAGCCUGAUGCAGCCAUGCCGCGUGGGUGAAGAAGGCCUUCGGGUUGUAAAGCUCUUUCAGUGAGGAGGCGUUACUCGCAGAAGAAGCACCGGCUAACUCCGUGCCAGCAGCCGCGGUAAUUC